UCCUGAGCGUUGCUUUUGGGUCCACUCUGUCCACACCAUAACAGUUUCUAAAUACCACAGCGUCGGCUGUGCAAGUCCUCUUCAACGUACGAACUUAAGUAUAUUUCUUUUUCACCUGGGUGUGAUUUUUUGUGAGAUGAAACUGGAGCACCCGGAGUAAACCCAUGCAAACACGGAGAGAGAACCAGAACUGAACACCAGUCCUGGCUUACUGGUUUCCCACCCAUGAAAAUGCACACAUUUGAUAAUAUUUUAGAUGUGUGGAGUCUGAUUCCCCUUCACAAAAACUCCAGGACCAGAGGGGAGUGUACCUGAGGAAAGAGAAUGAAACAGAGAGUGUAGGAUAUUUUAUGUAUAAAAAAAGAAUAGACAGUAAACCAAUGUCAGCUAUUA